rnacentral:lncRNA from 1 species
CUAGAAUGGAGGGCCGGGUAGAGAGCUGGUUGUGGAUGAGAGCAAGAACAGAUUAGAAGGACAAACUGGAAUCACGAAUGAUGGAAAUCUUUGAGGACAGAUUUGAUCUGCAUGUGUCUUGUUCUUUCUAGUGUCAGUGUCCUGCAGAAGAAGCUGGUGCCCUUCAUGGAUCUACAGAUGCACUUGGUUUAGGAUUUAAAGGAGCCAGAGGAGGAGAUGUGGUGAGAGCUGGAAGACCUACAAGCCUGGGUGCUGCCCCAAGCAUCGAGGUGAGUCAGCAGAUUAGCAUAUGAGAGUGGCCAGUGUCCCUGGAGCCUUGCAUUUUCCUUCAGAGCAUAACCACAGUGGAUGCUGCUUCCCUGCUGUCUUUCCAAUCUCAUGCAACAUGUCACUUGUGAUCAGUGCUAGCCUGGAACUUGCAAGGAUCCUGGACAACAGUUCCUGCGUAUCUUGGUUGACACAUACAAAGCUACCACAAAACAUCCUGGGUCCAGGGAUCAAUCUGCACCAACAGGGGCAAAGAAGAGAGAGCUCUACUCUCUUUUGUGCCUGUUUAUUUUAUCAAAAAAGUAAAAGGCUUUCUACAAGAACCACAGGAGACUCCCCUUAUGUCUUAUGGCCAGAACUUGGUAAUAUUGUCACCCCUUAACUCCAAAGGAGGCUGACAAAGGGGUCAUUGAACUUUUCCAGCCUCUUCUGGAGUAGAGGGAGGCAAAGGAGAAGGAGCUGGGAAUGGCCGUUGAGUUAGUGAGCCAAGAGUGUGUACUGCAGAUCUGCAUGGUACAUCCCCUCAACCUCCUUAUAGCUGGAAAAAAGCUCAAUAAUACUUACUUAGUCCAAGUCCUUCAUUUACAUGUGAUAAAAUUGAGGCACAGAGGGGUUAAGCCCUCUUCAAACAACUACUUUGACAUUAGAUUUUUGGCAUCCCUUAGUUUAC